UACGGAGGGUGCUAGCGUUGUUCGGAAUUACUGGGCGUAAAGGGCGCGUAGGCGGCCGUUUGCGUCGGAUGUGAAAGCCCGGGGCUCAACCUCGGAACGGCAUUCGAUACGGGACGGCUGGAGACCGGGAGAGGAGAGUGGAAUAGCCAGUGUAGAGGUGAAAUUCGUAGAUAUUCGCAAGAACACCAGUGGCGAAGGCGGCUUACUGGACCGGUUCUGACGCUGAGGCGCGAAAGCGUGGGGAGCAAACAGG
rnacentral:rRNA from 1 species